rnacentral:rRNA from 1 species
AUGUGUCAUGUUCAUGCACCAAAGAGUUGUUCGUCGUGCUGGGAGACCUUUGAUCCGCUAUGGUCCAUUGUUACCCCGGGAACAGGAGAGGAUCCAAAUCUGAACUGCAUCUACAACUGCAACGACGUCGAGGCUCUCUGGAUGCUUAGAAUGAAAAGAGCACCAUUUGCCAGGCUUGUCGAGACCUUCAGGAGCAGGGGCCUGUUACAAGAUAGCAUCAACACCAGUGUUGAAGAGCAAGUGGUCAUGUUCCUCCAUGCUGUUGGCCAUAACCAGAGGUUCAAGGUCAUUCACAACACGUUCAGGAGAUCAAUGGAGACCAUCUCUAGGUACUUAAAGCAGGUGCUUUUUGCUGUUGGGGAGCUUAGAGGAGAGAUGAUUAGGAGACCAUAUGGCCAGACUCCAUCCAAGAUUCGCGGAAGCCUAAGAUGGUAUCCAUACUUCAAGGUGAGCAUUGACAAUAUACACUUUUCAUGGCUUGAUAUGCUUGUAUUGUUCAAGUUGAGCACUAACACAAGCUAG